CAGUCGCCGCGGUAACACAGAGGGUGCAAGCGUUAAUCGGAAUUACUGGGCGUAAAGCGUGCGUAGGCGGUUUGUUAAGUCUGCUGUGAAAUCCCCGGGCUCAACCUGGGAAUGGCAGUGGAUACUGGCAAGCUAGAGUGUGUCAGAGGAUGGUGGAAUUCCCGGUGUAGCGGUGAAAUGCGUAGAGAUCGGGAGGAACAUCAGUGGCGAAGGCGGCCAUCUGGGACAACACUGACGCUGAGGCACGAAAGCGUGGGGAGCAAACAGGAUUAGAUACCCCAGUAGUCCCUGUCUCUUAUAC
rnacentral:rRNA from 1 species